CAAAAUGAAAGAAAAUGGUUGAGUCAAUGAUGUGCUACUAUGCUGCUACGCUUAUACCAACCACUUGUAGGGUGCAUUUCUGUAAAUAUUGACAAUGCAAUUUCCCAUAGGAACUCCUUUUACGGCUAAAACUGUACCACUUAUACUAUGAAGUUUUGAAAAAAAUCUUAUCCUAGAAUUGAAAGUUCAUACGCACCACAUUUUUUUUUCAAAGGUCAAAAUAUAGGGCUGUGCGGCAUAUUUUCAACGUUUAUAUGCCCUGAACUUCUCAGAGAUUAAACUAACACUAAUUUUCUUAAAUAUCCCUACCUCGAAUGAAAGGUUACCACAGAUUUCAAUGUAAACGAUAUGCACAUGUUUAUUUACUGGUAACAUUCCCAAGUUAUGUCUCUGUGAGAUGCAACACAGAGAGCAUAACUGGGAACCAGUAUGUUAACAAAAUUAAUUUUCUAUGAAUAUUCAAGAUCUCCCCAAAAGAGGCGUGUUUUGAGAAACAGCUGUAUUUACAAAGUGCAACCUGUAG
rnacentral:lncRNA from 1 species